rnacentral:lncRNA from 1 species
UUUUUUUUUUUUUUUUUUUUAUUCUGCAAAUUUCAAUUUAAAAAUUAUUAUUUCCAAGGACAGAAACACGUAGAUUCAGAACGACUUCAUCAUGCAUGCAAAGCUAUUAUUAAUUUUGUGACAUAUUAUUAUUUACGCGACCAAUGUCUUUGGAUUCUUGUUACUUGUUGAAAGGGAAGUAAAAUAUAUAGUCGAGAAGUAGUCGAGCUAGUUAUGUUUUUUGGUCGAAUUUAUUCACCUGAUAGUGAUCUGGGAUAGUUUCAAAGAUGCCCUUUCUUUACUGAUCAGCUGCAUGUAUAUGAUUUGAGUAAAUGCUAUACAUAAUCUAAAUGCUUUUCGCAGCUAAAUUGUUCUUUUACCAGAGACAGGUCUUUCCCUGAAUAUUCUGAGAUAGACUAGGGAAGGAGUGUCCGGCAUCGCGCUGGUGUUUGGUAUCCGUGGUUAAAGAAAAUUUUCAGUUCAGAACACACAAAUUGAUACACUAUCAUGUAGAAUUUUCAAGACCAAUUUUUUGUUUCUUCCAUCAUUAUGUAGGAAAUGGACUGAGUUGAGUUGAUUUUGAGGAUUUGAUACGAGCUUGUGAAGGCAUCUAUCAUCAAAGAUGCCAAUUGUGUGGUUUUGACACUAGAUGGUGCAUUCACUAGAAGAAGAGGUCAAGGUUAUCUAGUCAAUUAGUGAUAAGACUGAAUUAUUCUAUUCAUGCAUUGAAACAUCUUGCAUCUCCCCCCCCCCCCCCGCACAACAACAGAAAAAACCCUAUAGACAUCUCUAUGAAGAGAUCAACUUUGACAAAUUCCGAUCCAUCCGGUUAAAAGACUAAAAGAAAAUUAGACUUUAUCAUUUGAUAGAACUUGGUGCUUGCCGGGCGUUUAAGGUGGCAAUUCUGCCGUAAUGAGCAUGUCAAUAUGCUAAUCAUUGGUCUACAUAUGUAAAAGAGUUGUUUCAAACAAAAUAUUAUGUUGAAAUCUUAUUCUUUUAAUUAUUUAACUAUGUGUAAGAUUGGACUCUCACAUGGUUGAUAAUAAUUGGAAUCUGUAAUUAGACAAGUCUUAGUUGAACUCCGAGAGAUUGAACUCUAGCACAAAUGAUUGUCCAACUUCUGUUGGUCUAACUCCACUUUGCAUCCUUAAACUGGUAGCACCUUUUCACUUCACACCUUAAAUUUUAAUUUUGGACAUUUUGCACUAUAAACUCUUAAUUUUGGAUACUAUACACCCUAAACUCUUAAAUUUAUCCUAUUUAAAUAUAAUAAAUAAUUAUGUCAUGCGCAAAAUUAACUAAUCACAAUGUUAUUUUAAUUCUAACUAUGAUCCAUCAACUUUUUUGAUCACUUUCAUCACAUUGCCAUUAUUUUAUGUAGCUUUAAUCACUAAUAUUGUUAGUAAACCUAACAAGAUUAAAGAUGAUACUCAUUAAUGACAAUGUAUUAUUUUAUUUUUAUUACAACACUGUAGUACCUUUUGACUACUUUCAGUACAUUGUCAUUGAUUCCUUGGAUCCUCUACGCCAUUAAUUUUGCCAAAGUUAAUUAUCAUUGAUUAUAAUUAAAUGGGACAAACUUAAAAGUUUAGAGUGUAAAGCAUUCAAAUUUGAGAUUUUAGGGUGUAAAAUGUUCAACAUUGAAAUUUAGCGUACAAAGUGAUACAAGUUUAAGGGUACGAAAUGAAGUUAGUCUAAAUGAGUUCGAUAAGCGGGUUAUAACUAAGACAAGAUUUUUCUGUUUUUCAUUUUUAGCAAGAAAGGCUCAGUGAACAUAGCAAAAACGCUCUCACAAAGGAGCAAAACCAAACUACUAAGACAAAUUGUCUGAGCCAGUUUAUGGAGAAAUCUUGCAGGAGUUUUGAUGAACCAAAAAUUUAUAGUGGGUAGGUACUCAUAGUAUUACUUCUUUUUUUUUUUUUUUUUCUGCAGGUCUUGUUUGCUAAUAUCAUACGUCCUGCAAUUUACAGAUUACCCGUUUUGGCCUACUUGAAUGAGACAGCAAAUUUUUUUUUUUUUCAAGAGAAAGUUUCAUACACUAAUCAAGUCAAUCUGAACAAGCAAAAAAAGACAGUCUGUUCUUUUGUUCGAAGUAUUUGGCAUCAGAAUCCGGCAAUUUUCAGUUGGAGUGUUGGUCUCUAGCUGCCGACAAUUGUAGUAGUUCACAAGCCAUUAUCUGUUUCUCUCUUCUUCAUUAUUCUUCCAACCUUGACACAAUUGUUUAUUAAUGCUUUUCUGAUAUUCUUCUAAGCCCUACCACCUAAUCAUUCUCUUCUUUAUGUAUGAUUUUUUAUUUUUAUUUUUAUUUUUUUUGUGGGACAAUAUCAUUUCAUAAGGUUUAAAGUUUGGACUAUUUAGAAACCCCCAAAAAAAAAAAUUGGACAGCAUUGUUUGUUAUACAAAAAGAAUGAAAAUGAGGUUUGGCUAUUGUAGCAGCUCGUGAAUGCUACGCGAGGUCCCCCCCGGUGCGACUCCCGUUGUGAGCGCCAAAUUCAAAUAGCCCAGGGUCAGGCCUUACUUCCGAGCAAGAGUCGGACUCUACGAGCACAAUCCGGGCCGAAUCCGGAUUAAGUCGGAACAGUGGCUCCGAAUACCGGGUGGUCUGACCCAAACUUUUAGUGGGCCUUUUUAAGGGCCAGAAGGAUGACAGGCCGUAAGGAACCAAUGUUCUUGCUGAAAAUCCAGGCACUUGUACUUGGUUUUGUGAGCAGAAGCACAGCCGCAUCAAACCGAAGUAUCAAUUUUGUGUUGAGAAGAAAAAAGUAAAUUUUUAAAAUUUAUUGGUCCAUGUAUAUUCACAUUUUUUUUUGACAAACAUCUAUAUUCACAGUUCAAAAUGUGUCUCUAUUUUACCACUUUUUAUGAUGCUUUGUUUUUUUUUUUCAUUUCCUUCUUGGGAACUAUAUAAAAAAUGAAAAGUUUCAGUGCAAUUUGAUGAAACCUAAUUAAUCAUCACUUACCAAAAAAUGGUGAAUAAGUCAAACUCAAAAUAAGAUUUGGACAGAUACUUCUCACACACCCAAGUUUGAUAGGCAAAGGUACAUACAUUGUGUCUUGUUGUCGUUUCAGAAAAAAUGAUAGGGAAAAUAAAUUAAAUUUAGAAUUUUGAAGUAGAAGGAGGAAGAAAGUCUUGGACAAUUAAUAUUUACUCAAUUUGAAAAAUGAGAUUAAUUAAGAAGCUAAAAAAUGUUAAGACUAGGAAUUCAUGGAAAUUUUGUGCAUUUACUUCCUUUCGCAGAGUGCAUACUUUUUUGGCAUAAACCAUGCCUUAAAAUUUAGGAAAAAUAGAUGAAUUAUGAGUGUGUUUGGAUAGCAGUUUAUUUGAAAAUAUUAUUUUGAAUAAUUAUGCAUCAUCUUUUGCAAUGUGAUUUAUGUGAGAUAAAAAGUAGUUAAGAAGAUAAAACGGUGUAUUGAAAAAAUAUGUUUGUGAUACAAAUAAAUAAUUUUGUACAAAUAAUGCCUAUAAUUAUCUAUUUUUACCUUAUUAAAUAGUUCAGAAUCCUAAAGAAAUUAAAUUUUUCUACACGUGUCUAAUGAAUACUUGUUAUAAUAUCUAAAUCACACCUAACCUAUCAUGUGAAUACGUACACUAAUAAUUAUUAUCAUACUUUGCAUUUAUAAGUUUUUCAUAAUUAAUUUUACAUUUUUAAAAUAUUAACACGUAAAUUACAUCUUAAAGAGUCCAAAUUAUUCUUUAAAUUUUGGGCAGACCCAUGAAAUUAAUUGGGAGGCAUGAAAAAUUAAUGCUUUCAGCAUCAUGGACAAUUUGAUGGCUUGAAUUGAGCGGACAAAGUGACCAAAAUAGAAAUAAAAAAAAAUUGAACUCUUUUUCUUGAGUGGUUUCACUUUUAAAUGAAGGAAGUAAUCAACUCAGCCUUCCAAACCAGAAACAAAUUGAACUUUUAAAAUAACACAUCAAAUGAAGGAAGUAAUCAAUUCACUUGCCAAACUAGAAAUAAAACAAACUGAACUCUUCUUUCUUGAGUAGUUUCACUUAAAUGCCCAACCUGUGUGAUCCCUUUUAAUGAGUAGCCCAUUUUCAAGUUUACUCAGAUAUUUUAGGGUAUUAACAGCUAAUGCCUUUUUCUGUUAUUGGAACAUAGCAAUUAGCAAUUAAUCGAUCUCUCUAGUUUAUAAAAAUUGCAUUUCUAGAGUAGUCUCAAUUCCUGUGAUUUAAUCUCAUAAAAGUGAAAAUAUCAGGUUCACAGAACAAAUGCCCAUGAGUUUAGAGGUGAUGAACUCGAUUAACUUUCUAAUCUUUCUAGCAUUCGCUGCCAGUGCUAAUUGGUGCACUAAUCAAACUAUACUUUUUUCAGACCAACCGGGUGUGUGUAGUUUUGCCUUGUAGAAUUUCCUGCGUCCAAAAUAAGUAUGCACAACAAUAUAAGCAAAUGAGUUUGGUCCAAACGACACGAUUUGUUACCAGUCCUACCAUGCGGUAUCAUUGUCACGUUAAUUUCCCGUGUACAGAACUUAAUCUAGAUUUACGGUCCGUUUGAUUCAAUGUAAAACAUUUUCAACGGAAAAUGUCUUCCAUGGAAAAUUUUAUCAAGGAAAAUAAUAUCCUUCUCCAUGUUUUUUCCUGUGUUUAAGAGGAGAUGGAGACUACAAAUCUUUAGUGGACUAUUGCACAAGUAGUGGGUUUUGUUACGAAACUUAAGACUGGUGGGAGAGCUUGAAUGGAUAGUCUCACGACUAACGAUGCGGACAUGGAAAAUAACUUCAAUUCAUUUAUAUGGAAAGUCAUUUUACAUCAUCUAAUGUAAAAUAUUUUUGGCAGGAAAAAUUUUUCCCAAAACAAUAACCCAAACAAACAAUAGAAAAUCAGGAAAAUAUUUUCCUUCCAAACAAACAGAUGCUUAGGCUUAGAACCUAUCUACACAUAUUGUUAAUUCAUAGCGAAAGGGAUAGAUUGAACUGUAUCAUCAGCAAUCCUAACAGAACUAACCGCUAUCGUUAGAUCUAAGAGAAAGCCACAUUGAAUAACAAUUAUGGGAGGUAAAACUUGAAUUCUUGACUUCACAUUAUAACUAGCACUUUAAACUAGAGACCGGAUCUAUAGUAUUGUUUACAAUGUAUAUUGCUGUUCAACAAAUUGUUUUACAUUAGUAAGAUAUGCAAACAAGGGUCCAUUGGCGCGCCCUCGGGUGCGAGUCUUGGAGCCAAGGUAUCUAUUUCUUCUUUUUUUUUUAUGAAACCUAUUCAUUAUGAUAAAAUUGUAAUCAACUUCGAAUCAUCAACAAAAUAUACUCCAUUGAUGUCAUACUAAUAAGUAGACAUAGACUAAUACCACCAAAAUGCCUCUCUCGUAUAGGUAUCCUCCACACUUUCAAUGGAGGAGUUGGCCACCAUCAAACCUUUUAGGCUUGGUGUCCCACUAAUUGCUAUAGGUAUGGCUCUCUAAAUCCAGACGGGUAUGUAGUGCGCUCGUUUGGUUCGAUAGUGAUUCAGUAUCCGUCGGCCCUCCCCAUAGGCUCAGUUGGGUCCCCCUUAGAAUAGGAUAGAGUAGAAGUAGGAGUAGAUGUAGAAUAGACAAAUACUGAAAGUUGAAAAAAAAAUUUAGGUAUCCUCCACUAAGAGAAUCAUCAGACUUCACUUUUAUCAUGUUUUUGUCUAAAUUCAACAUCCCAAAUUUAUUUUCAUUAAAAUUUUCCUCUCUUAUAUGGUAAAAUGGGACCUAAAUUUGUCACAAAGAAAAAGAAAUAAUUCUUUUGUUUGGUAAAAUGGGACCUAAAAUUGUCACAACAAAAAAUAAAUAUUUUUUUAAUUCAUCUUUUUUUAAGUGUAAGUUGAAGGUUUCGAACUCGAGAUCUCUCACUUAUACUCUCUCUUCCCAUACCAUCAAACUCAACUCAUUCCUCCCUUCUUGAAUUCAUCUAUUAAAAUUUGACAUAUCUAAAUGAAUAGUAUCAUAGAUUGACAAUAUAAUCAUGAUCAGUAAAUAAAAAAAUAAAUAUAUCUAAUUCAGAUAGAAAAAUCUCAUCUUUAUUGAAUCAUUAUCAUCAUCAAGUAACACAACACAAUUAACCAAAACAAAAAAAAAAGGAAAAAAACACAAAACAAAAUAUGAAAAAAAUCUAAAAACAACCAAUCAAUCAAAAUUAAAAAUAAAUGGAAAUUAAGAUAACAAAACGUAGAUAUGGAUAAGGCCUAAGGGGCUCACAUGACGGUGAUUGAAAUCUAAAAAUCGUCAACAUGAAGACGUCAGCAACCGGACUUUGAUUUCCCAAUUUAUAAUAUUUUUCUUAAAAAAAGAUAAAAAGAAAACGUAUUGUGUAUAAAGAGUCUUUAUAAUUCCAACUAUCAAUUACUUGAUUUCUAUUUUCACCUAAAGAUUUCAUGCAAUCACUGUUUACAAAGGUUUGCAAAUUUGCAUGCAUGCAUCAUUAAUUCCAAUAGUUGCAAUAAUCAAGGUAUGUGAUAUGCAUUAGUGCAAGCAAUUGUCCAUUCUCAUUAACUUCUUGAAAAAUAUAUAAAAAUACAAUAUAAAAAUACAAAUUAAGAGACUAUUUACAAUUAAAAGACUAAUAAUAACAUUAAUCCAUAAUUUGAUAUGGUCGUAAUAACUUUCCAAAUACCUGUUUCCCAAUAUUUGAUAUAGCUUAAUGAUGAUUUCUUCUUCUUUGGUAAAAUUUCACCAAUAUCAAUGAAAUAAUAAUGGAUUUGAUUAGCAAUUAGGAGUUUAAUAAGUUCAUCAUUUAUUUGAUGAUUAGUGUUUGUAUGUAUUAGUAUUUGAAUAGAAGAUGAGAGGCUAAUAAAGUUCAAUUUGUAAACAUUAGUAUGUAGGCAAAUUGUUUUAAUUGUCCAUAAUACUUGAUUUUAUAUUUAAGCUAAUAUUUAUAUAAUUUUGGGCAUAUUAGUCAAAUCAAAAGAAUAAAAAACACAUAUCGAUAAAUCGUUCAAAAUAUUUUUUUAUAUAUGAUAUAGAUAUAGAUAUAGAUACUAUCAAAGUAAAUAUACAAUAUGUACUUAUUUAUAAUAAGUUGACGCUUUAGUUUGGAAGGCGGGGAGGGAUGAGUUCAGUGGUACAGAAUGAUAGAAUGUAAGCAGAUCCCGAAUUCAUACCUUCUCAUUUACACUACAAAAAAUAAAAUAAAAUAAAAGAAGUUGAGGCUUUAGUUAUACUAGUAAUACUACUAUGACUUGAAAGUGUAACGUCUAUAGAUGCUUGUUUAGGUUCUAUUUGAUAACAUAAAAAAGUGUUGAAACUGAACUUUUUUCAGACAUUCAGAUAUUUUGAGUGUUUGAUAAAUAAAAAUCUAUUUGCUGAACUUGUUAAAUAGUGCUGAAUUUAUGUGUAUCUUUUUCAGCACAAAAAUAGUAACUAAAUGUUUAAUUCGGAUAAGAAUCAAUAGAACUAGUUCAACUACCUUAUCUUAUCUAUCAAAUUUACCUUUGUUUGUUAAUUAUGUUCAAAAUUUUUAUCUAAUUAAACAACUUGAUAUUCUUUAUUCAACAUCCUAAUCUAAUAAAACAACCUGAUAUUCUCUAUCUAACAGUUUUCUAUUUCUAUUUUCUCCAUAUUUAAUGACUUUCAUAUUUUCUCCAUACUCCUCAUAUAAUAUAUUUCAUCUUUUAUAUUAAUUUGAUUUAAAAAUAAAUAUUGUCAUUUUCAUACCUAAUAAUUUUAAACUAAUUAAAUCAUAGGUUCUAUUUCUUUUUUGGAUGAAAAGAUAGAAGGGCAAAAUGUAUAAUCUAACUUAUUAAGCAUUCAGUUAUAAAUGUUUAUCAAACAGUAUAUAUAGAUUCAGCAUUAAAAUUCAGACAUUCAUAUAUUCAACAAAUUAAUUAUUUCAUAUUCAGAUUUCAGAACUCAGAUUCAGUUUUAUCAUACGGAACCUUAUUUUAGUGACUUUUUCUAACAAGUGCUCAAUAAGCACUCAUUAACACAUCUAAAUCACAAUUAAUUUAUCAAUUGAAUGCAUACACUAACAAUUAUUACACUCCUUUACAUACAUACAUAUACACAUACACUCACAUAUAUACAUGUGUGUGUGUGUGUGUAAAUUAACUUUAUUUUUCCAAAAUUUUAAUAUUUGAACUAAAUAUUAACGAGUGCCUUAUUUUAAUUAGCAAACACUGCGCCUAUGGCGAGUUCAAUGCUGCUGUUUUUUUUGUCACCGUUGGGCUGAGAAAGUAUGGUUUAGUGUACGAAUUACAUGGAAUACAAGAAAUUUAGGCAAUUAAUUGGCUUUAUAGUUCGUAGAGCGCACCUAGCAUUUUCAUUUCUAGCAAGAUUUAACAGCACACGUGAAAAUGGGAUUUAGAUUAUCCUGGGUGAUUUCAGCUUUGCACCUUGUCCUUAGAGAUAAAGUAGAACCCUCAAAUUUGAGUAAGAAAAUCAACUUGAAAGCAGUUCAUACGAGUUUUUUUCUUUAUGUAUAUGAUAUGACAUUUUCGCAUUAAAACUUAAAAUAGGGGAGACAAAUGCAAGUCAAAAUCCUCAAGAGAAAUGCCAAAAACCUCCAGGGAACUUCUGAAAUACCCCAAAAACUGGACAGAACAUGCUAAAAGAGUAGGUUUGAGGACAAAUCAUUUUGGACCUUGCCGUUGAAAAUAUAAUAUGAAGGACAAUGUUUGUAUAACAUAUUGUCAUUCUUGAAUGAUGUGGUUGAGCUCACAACCGCACAUUUUGUUGCAGCCACCAUAGUGCAACGUGUUGGAUUAUUUACCCAUUAGUGCUCUUGGUGAUCAAUCACCGUUCUGGAAUCAUGUCUGCUGUAUAUACACUUCUGCAGAUUGCUGUACAACUUUGCCAGGCCACCAAAAUAGAACCAGCGGAGUGAUCAAUCAAAGAAGCUUGCAUAUAAGGAAGAGAUCCAGUGUUUUAUUUUGAUCCAAUAUUUGCUUCCUGCUACGGUGCUACCCUGACUUGAAUUGCUAUUCCCUUUUAUGUGUAGAAUGUUUUGGUCAAUAGAGAGAGAGAGACACACACACACACAUACACACAACGGUAGUAAUACAACGCCAACCCAAAAUUCUGAAGGUUACACUUUGGGAAAAACCAAAAAUGAUACUAUCAUUUACCCUCAAUGUAAAUAUAUACCGUAAUUAUUCAUCACUAAGCGUCUGAAGGUUUGGUUAUAAUUAUUUUUUCUUGUUCUGCCAGUGCUAAAUGCGGGGAGGCAAUAUUUGAUUACUAUCUUAACACGAAACCUAUCUUUAGCCUCAUUGGAUUCCCGUAUUCUCCAAAAUUUCUAGCAACAAGAGAAUAACAAUUCAAAGCAUGGUGAGAGGAAUUCGUUAUUGCAUUUUCAAAUUUAAUAAUGUAUGACUUAUUACCAUUUUCAAGAUAGCUAGCUAUGCAUUCAAGCAUAAGGGUUUGGCACUGAUGCUCUUUUGCUUUUGGCAGUUCAAUUCGAUUGCGCAUAUGUUUGAAUUCUUCCAUGUACAACCAUAUUAUAUUAUUAUAUGAAGCGAAUAUGAAGUAUUUUAGUUAUGUACGUUAUAUAAUUAUGGAUUUGUCUAUCCUAUGAGCACUCGUUAGAUAUAUUUCAGAUGCAAUAUUUUUUAAAAUGUAAAAUUAAUUAGGGAGAGGAAAUAAAUACAAGAAAAGAUAUAUACAAUUAAAUAAAAAAACAUAUAAAUACAAGAGACGGUAGUGAUUGUUUAAUAUGUACAUACAUAUUAGAUUAGAUGAAUAUUAGAUUUAUCAAUGAGUACGCUGUCGGCACCGUUAGAAAGAUGUGUUAAUAAAUGCACUAUAAAUACCGUUAGCAAAUCCCUAUAAUUAUGCAUCAAAUAAUGUAAUAAGUUCAACCAUAUUAUUAUGCACCGAAGUCAGCAGCAUCAGCUGAUUCUGGGAACUGGAACGGUAUACCGGUGCCAAAAAUCCACAUGGGCUUAUCUACAAUCUCUAUAACAACCUGAAAUUCAAAUGGGUUAUCUACAAUCUCUCCUUCCCUUCCCUUCCCUUUCCAUCAAUAAAUACUUCCGUUUGUUCUUCCAAUACCAAUUUUCCAACCUUUGGAUUCUGACAAAAUAUUCAUUGUAUCUUUCCACCAGUCAGACUAAAGAAUAGAAACAAAUAAGAGUAGCCGCUUCUUUUGAGCACUGUUGAGUCUUGCAGCCUUCAACGGCAACACCAGAAGUCCUCUCUUCUCUUCGCUUUCUCCUCUCUGCCCUCUCCUCACUCCACGCUAUCUGGAAUACAAGGUAACUUCAACACGAAAACUCCCUCUUCUCUCCCAUUUCCAUAGCAAAAGACGUGCAUGCAAAUCCUUAAAGUUAAAAUUGUUCAAGAAAAUGUUGAAUGCUGUUCUUGUCCAAUGCUAUCAAGAGAACAAAGUCUUCCAACCCUUCAAGGAUUCCUAAAUUUUCAUUUCUCUUUUAUUAUCCUACACAUUUAUUUGUUUGUGUAGAUUCCAAUUUACCACUUGCAUAUCAUAUAAUUAGCAGAUUAACCAGUCGAAGUCGUGGCUGGAAGUUAAAUUUCAUAGUCAUCUUUUACAAAAGUGCAUAUAAGCAAAGGUUGGAUUGUAUCAUGAGGCUUUCUCAAGUGGUGAAUUUUUUGUCAAUGCAGUUGAUUUUGGGAGUGAAUUUGGUGGUAUCAAAUAUUUAUAAGCAUGUCUAAGCUGAGAGUGGCAGUGGUGGGUGCUGGGAUUAGUGGGCUGGUUGCAGCUCAUGUUUUGGCCAAGGAAGGUGUCGAUGUGGUAAUAUACGAGAAAGAGGAUUACUUAGGCGGCCAUGCUAAGACUGUUACUAUGGAUGGCAUUGAUCUUGACCUUGGCUUCAUGGUCUUCAAUCGUGUAAGACAAAGCAAUUUUAUGUUCCUUUUGUCAUUGCAUUUUGUUGAUUCUUAUGAACUUUGGGUGCAUCUUUUCCCCAUAAAUAGUCCAGGAAUCAUUCUUAAUGCUCCAUUCUCUUCACAUCUAAGUUUUCAACUUUUCAAGAAUUUCAGAACAAGAAAAAAAUACCAAAAGCAUUGUUUACAAUUCCAAUAGUACUUGAGAAAAAUAAUUACUCUUUCAGCUUCAUAACAAACCAUAAUUAUUUAGCCUAGCAAUAUUUCUUGUUAUUCGACUAGUGCAGAGCGAAUACUCCUCAUUUUAGAACUCAACUUCCAAUUUCGGAUGAUGCAUCCCGGUUAGAGAUCCUUUUCUCAGUUAAAAUUCGAGGACUUGUCAAAGUAAAAUAAGGGAAAACUGCUUGAGUUAGGUGUUGUAAAAUUACAAGAACCAAAGUGAAAAUUUUUUCUUGACAUGAAUAUGGAUAGAAAGGGAUGGAUGUAGUUAUAGGCAAUAAUUCCUGAUUCUGAUUGUGCCACGACCUCAGCAGAGCUUGGCCACAUUCACUAACUAACAGGACAGGGGUGAACGGUUGUCAGGAAAAUGGUUCGGGCUGAUUUUGUGCAAAAUGUAUAAGAUGUAACUUUGUAUAUACAAAAUAUAAUUUACUUUCAAUAACGUGUAACUAUAAAAUAAAAUUUUGUGAGUCUCACGCAUGAUAUGAAAAACGAUGUACAACAUACAAUUUGGACUUUAUAUUUUUUUUUGCCAAAUCUUAGCCAUGAACCUUUAGAAACUGUUGCAACGGUUGCAGAUCUCCUCCUCCUCCUCUAACAUCAUAACAUAUGAGUCAACUCUGUUCUAAUGAAUAAAGCAUUAUCAGGACUAGUAAUAAGGGCAGACUCGAUGUGUGUGCGCAUGCAAUUUAAGAAAAAUCACUUUUUGCAUGAAAGAAGUCAAUAUAAAAUUUUUAUAAAUAAAAAAAAUUUUCAUCUUUCAAAAGUUUGUUUGAAUAAAAUUUUAUGAACUUGGUGGUUAUAAUAUUUGUGGGUGGUUAUGAUUAAAUUAAAAAAAAGAACUUUGAUCUUUCAAAAAAAAAUUUAAUAAAAUUUUAAUGAACUUGGUGGUUACAAAUUGUGGGUGGUUAAGAGUAAAAGUUAGUUAUGGUUAUAUUGGUUGGCAAUAUAGGUAACAUGUAAUCAGAUAACAAAGGUAUAAUCAAGUGAUUGUGAGAGUAAAAUUGAAAAUCUAAAAAAUGAUAAUAAAAAAAAGUUUACACCAGACUCAAUAUCUCCGAGGAGGGUUGGGGUGGAUGGUGAGAUGGGAGUAAUUAUAAAUAAAACUUAACGCUCUUCUAUUAUAUACAGUAUAGAUAUUAAUACCAUAAUAUUCAUUUUAUAGAAGCCGAAAAUGGUACUUAACUCACAUCAUAUACUUAUCAGCAUGGCAUGAUUCUUUUCCAACGCAUAUAGAUGCAUAUGAUUAGUUGGUGGUCUUUUUCAUGAAAUUUUAAUUUUUUCGAGAUAUGAUAAUUAUAUUUUGGUGGUAUCAACUUAUGUUCUUGUCUUAGCAUCUAUCCUAGCAUUUUGUUGAUCACAUAUGAAGAUAGAAACAAACAUCUUUAAACAAAAGUAUAAUAUGUUAGAGAAAAUGUGAUGACUCAAGAACUUAAAAAAAAAAAAAAAAAAAAGGGAGAUGGACAGUUCUUUUUAUUCUCCUUUUAUGCGAGUAGCUAUCUAACAAUUGAUAGGGUUCUGUUUUAAAAAAAAAAAAUGUGCCUGUUGUCAAUACACAUAAUGUAAAUUUAAUUGAUUAAUUAAAUGCUCAUACUUACAUUUUGACUCUUUCCCAGUAAAAUUUCACUUAUUAAGCAAACUAACAUUAAGAAGUUCAAACCAAUGAAAGUUCUAUUUAUUAGAGGAAAAAAAGCAAAUGCUAGAAGAAACAAAAAUGUGGCAAAAAUUUGUUCUUGAAAAAACGUAAAAAUGAUGCAUGCAUCUUUACGUAUUUUUAGAUUGUCAUGGCUCUGUUCUAUGGUUUUAAAUUUAGAUACUUAUAUUAUUCUAAAAGUAUUUGCCAAAAUUAUGGUCUAGCAGCUGAAUAUUUUCUUAAUCUUCUCUUUAGCGACUGACUGCCGUCGUAAUCAAGAAAGGAUUUUCUUUUCUUUUCUUUUUUUUCCUUCCUUUUCAAGGAAUUUUAGAAGUGAAAAUGUGACCAUAGAAGUCAAUUACAGAAGCUACUUUCAUCUCAAUUAAGCCAAGAUUGGUCCUAAUAUUACAUCAAUGCACGUUUUGUCUCUAUGCUUCAAUGAACUAAGGCCUAUCGUUGUGUUUGGAUAUGGCUAAACGUUGUUAGAUAUUUCUCACCCUAAUCCUACUUUGCACUCUUGAACUGUUCGAUUCUCACUUUGGUCGGUAAAUUUUAAGUUUAGAACACUUUUGCUCCAUAAAUUUUAAACUCGACAAUGGUUAACAAAAUGCACAAAAACCAACUGAAUACCUUUGCUAAUCUUGAUUACUUCAUUGCUAAAACUAAAAUAUUCUGUUAGUUUUGUAUAUUCCAUUAACAAUUGGAUUAAAGUGGGACAAGUUUAGAUUUUGGACAGUAACAUAUACCAAACUUUAGUUCAGCGACCAAAAUAUGAACUGUAGUAGAGUUUUAAAGAUGUAAAAUUGAAUUAACCCGCAUUUUUUAAGUUUAACCUUAGAUAUUUGUUAAUAAAUGGUUUUUGAUAAGGGACCAUCUCUGUUGUUAUCUUCCAAAAUCCUAACGCCUAAAGUGUCAGUGAUGGUAUUUUGUAGUACACCUUGCUGUUGAUAAGAUUUUGGGACAUGGGAUUUUUUGGAGGGUUGUGGUGUGGGUGGGUUGGGGGGUGGGGGCAGGGACCAUUAGCAAAUAUCUCUUCUUCAUGAAGGCUUUUACAGAAAAGAAAUGGUACUAAAAUGAUAAAAUCUGCCAAGUAGAAUUCUAAGAACACUUUUAUGCAUUACACACAGAAAAAGAAAAAAAAAAAAAAGAAUAUAUGGAGCAUUACUACCUUGCGAAAUUGCCAUUAUUUAUUGGUUAUUGGAAUAUGAAGCAUACAAAAUUUGAAUGCAUUCUAAACCUGAAUCUGGUUAUAAAUUUUGGUAGUUAAAAAAGGGCAUGAAGAAAUUCCAGAAAAAAUAGGGAACCCUUAAUCAUAUUGAACAAGCAGCUGCUCAAGCCACAAGGAUGCAGGUCUCCUAAUUCAAAUGCCUUGUUCUUUGUCGUAAAUUUUCAGGGCUGUUUGCAUGGAUCAAAAUGUAGUUAGUACGAGACAUUAGCAAUGCAUGACACAAACAUUAUGUAGGAAAUAGUUGAUGAAACUGUUUUAAGCGCAAAUUGAUUUGUUUUUUCGGUUACGAUCUAAGUAGAAAAGCAAAGGUGGAAUUAAGUAAAAGAUGAUACUUAUAGCAAGACUGCUGAAUAUUCUGAAAAAUCUUUAGUUUUUAACAAGAGCAGCAACAAAAGUGGAAAGAAAUGACUGCAUGCUAUGCUAAUUUUUACUCGAGGAAAUUUGGGACUGUUUAGCUAAUGGUGUGUUGGGUAAUUGGCCAGGUGACUUAUCCAAAUAUGAUGGAACUCUUUGAGAAUCUUGGAGUAGAUAUGGAGCUUUCUGAUAUGUCAUUCUCAGUGAGCCUAGACAAGGGCAAAGGCUGUGAAUGGGGGAGCAGAAAUGGAUUGUCAAGUUUGUUUGCACAGAAGAAGAAUGUACUUAAUCCAAAAUUUUGGCAAAUGAUCCGAGAAAUUGUCAAGUUUAAGGCUGAUGUCAUAAGGUAGGUUUCCUCGUCCUUUUUAGUGUUUUCAUUGAAGUAAGAAUUCCUUAAAGAAAUGUUUUUCCAUUGCAUCUCAGAAGCCAAACGAAAUGAAGCGACUGCAGAAUUCUACAUGGUGUCAAUAUUAGGAAAAAAUAGUUUUUGGUGCUAAUCAGUCAAUUCUUACCUGAAUUCCCUGGGAGCAACUAGAGGAUUUGCAUAUGCGAUCGACUUCUCCAGUUAAAUAUGCAUCUAAUGAAGGAUGAACUAACAAAAAGUUCUAUACGUAAUGCAGUUAUGUAGAAGAGCUAGAGAAAAAUCCGGACUUAGAUCGGAAUGAAACACUUGGGCAUUUCAUCAGAUCACGUGGAUACUCAGAGUUAUUUCAGAAGGCCUAUCUUGUGAGGCUCCUACAGAUGCUUUAGUUUAUGGCAUUGAUUUUCUUUUGACCAAUGUAUUAAAUGAGCUUGCUUUCACAAUAAUACCAUAAGCAUAUAUCUCUGCUUUUUGACAGGUUCCAAUAUGUGCUUCUAUCUGGUCAUGCUCUUCAGAAGGAGUAUUGAACUUUUCUGCGUAUUCUAUUCUUUCCUUUUGUCGUAACCACCACCUUCUUCAGGUAAUGUGCCUUGCAGGCACCAUUGAGAAUUUGAGAUGAACUGCACUUUUUGAAAUAAUAUGUGAUGUGGCUGCUGUUUCCCUUUGCCAUUUAGCUCUUUGGUCGCCCUCAGUGGCUCACAGUAAGAUGGCGUUCCCAGACUUACAUCUCCAAGGUAAUUAAUUUAAAUUCCUUUUGUUGUAUACCACUGAAAAUUCCCCUGAUUGAAUGCAUAAGAGGACUGUAUAUUCUGUUAUUGUUUUGCACAAACCAGGUUAAAGAUGAUCUGGAAAGAAGAGGCUGUCAAAUAAGAAAUGGUUGUGAAGUACGCGCUGUUUCAACUAAGGAUGAGGGUAUCAACUCGUACAUUAUGCUCAAACAUUGUAGAUUUCAAAUUGGAUGGUGUUCUUUUGUUCAAGUAAAAACCAGACCAAUUAAAGCUGGAACUGGAACCAGAAUAUUGAUAUGUCAUCCUAGGACGGUUUAAAGUACAACACAACAAUUGCUUCAGAGAAACAAAUGGUUGCCUUCUACAUGAGAAAAUAGUGAAGACGCAAUCUUUAUAUACUAGCUGGUGGUUGUAAACCAAGCAGGAUUCUUCCUAGUGUCUUCUAAAAUCUCUCUGUUUUGAGUACUUUCUACGAGUGUUUUAUUGUCUAUAUCUUUUUCCUUAGUUGAGAAUUUUGGAUGUCAUUCUUAGUUUCAUGCCAAAAGACAGUACAUAACACAAUUUCCAAACUCAGAAACCAAAAUAUAGCAGUCUUGACUGUAGAGAUAUAAUUUGCUCAAUUGUUAGGUUGUGUGCUAUUGAUUAUGUUGAUACUCCCAUUCAUAAUGAAGAAGAAACUUGUACAGGUUGUGUUGUUACAUGUGAAAAUGGUUCCAUUGAAGUAUAUAACUCGUGCAUAGUGGCUGCGCAUGCUCCAGAUGCUCUUAAGAUUUUGGGAGAGCAGGCAACAUAUGAUGAAUCAAGAAUACUUGGUGCUUUCCAAUAUGCCUACAGGUAUCUUACUUUUUAAUGUUGGCUCUUAGUUUGCUGAUUUCUUAACCUUGAUACAAAUUGUUGCUUGUCUCCUCUAUUCGUCUCCAUUCUAAAUUUUAUCAGAAAUGCAAAGUUUGCGGUGAAUUUUUCUCUUCUCCUUUUCUUACGUCAACAUGUUUUGGGAGGUUGUAUUUCGUUUGGAGAUUUUCUUUUCUCCAAUACUUCUCUUCUGUUUCUUAUUGUAGAAGGUCUGGUUUCAAUUUUAAUAAAUAUGCUGGGUCAUGGAACCAGUUCAAAAUGCACAUUCAUUGUUUACCGCUUUAUGGCAGUGAUAUUUUCCUUCAUCGUGACAAAAACUUCAUGCCCCAAAAUCCAGCAGCAUGGAGCGCAUGGAAUUUUCUUGGAACUGUGGAUAAUAAAGUAUGUGUAACAUAUUGGCUCAACAUCCUCCAGGUUGGUGAGAUGUGUUCCCAAUAUAUUUGAUCAUUAGUUGUAUUGCUCUCAGAAUCCAUCAUAACGAACAAUUGCACAAAAAGCAUUUGAGAAUUCUGUGCAAUUGGCUUGAUCACAGUGCUAUGUAUGAGCUUUUAACUUAAAUAAUAAGUAAUAGCCCUCAAAGAAAUACUGGGAACUUCCAAAAGAUGUAUCAGUAACCUUAGAAAUCAAUGUGCACGCUCAAGAUAUCAAAUAAGCUCAAUUUCUUAUUUCCAGCUUCCAGCAACUUCAUUUUCAUGUUGCUGCAUUAAUGGAAUUUAUGCAAUGUGCUUCUUCUGUCAUUAAUAUCUUCAGCAUGAAUAACAAUAUUUAGCGUACAGAAUCUAGGAGAAACUGGACUGCCUUACCUGGUAACUCUCAAUCCGCCUCAUACACCUGAGAAUACAUUACUCAGGUGGUCAACUGGGCAUCCAGUUCCAUCAGUUGCUGCCUCAAAAGCUUCUACUCGACUUAAUGACAUCCAGGGGAAGAGAGGAAUAUGGUUCUGUGGAGCAUAUCAAGGUGACCACUUCACUUUGAAGAUCUUACAUGUCACCUUCUAAUGCACAAAAACAUUCAUUAUAAAACCAGUGCACCCAAUGUUGAAUUUUUAUGUGAGAGUUCACUUUUGCAUCUGACACUAUACUUUUUUCAGGUUAUGGUUUCCAUGAAGAUGGACUUAAGGUACUCUCCAUUUUGACAUCAUAUUGACAUAAUUAGAGUAAUUGAGUGUAGCAAAUCUUGUAGAUUGAUCGAAAGAAUGAAACCCAAGAUUAAGAAGCUGGAAAGAAAUGUUUCUAGUGAAGUAUAUUUUCUAAUAUUUGGCUUGGUUCCAGAAGUGCUUAUUAACCAUAUAGGCAAGUUAUUGGUUGCAAUUAAGCAUCUUAUCUUCUUUUCAGGCUGGUACAGUUGCUGCUCAGAGCCUGCUCAGAAAAAGUUGUACUAUCCUGAGUAACCCCAAACACAUGGUACCUUCCUGGACAGAGACUGGGGCACGCCUUCUCGUUACUAAAUUCCUCAAUGGUUUUAUUGCUACUGGCUCAUUAAUGUGAGUCAAUUCUGAGAGUAAACUAAUUCUCAUUUGCAUGUUAUAUAUUUUCACAAAGAAGACUUAGAACAAAGGCAUACUAUACCUAUUUAUUGAACUUAACUGUCUAUCGAAUUUGUAUCCCUGUUUAUCGAACUUAUAUCUGUCUAUCGUUUACAUUCUAAUACUGCAGUGGUUUGUCUAUGUUACCAUUUACAUUCUUUUUCUCUCAAAUCCAAAUUCUGUGACUGUUUUGUCAUUAAUUAAUUCCUAAACUUUAACCGGAUUUAUCAUUGGUUCUUCAAUAGACCUGCUCACUUAUGCCAAAUUUGCUUGUUAUUGAAUAUUAGCUCCCGAUGUGAUUAAAUAAGCAUGUUUUUUCUUAGUUUUUUGAUGUUUAAAAGUUGUUUUUAAGAGUCCAAUCUAUAGGCCUAAAGCUCCAAAGUUACAUGCAUUAUCUGUGUUUUCUGUUUUAACAGGUUACUGGAAGAAGGUGGCACAAUGUUUACCUUUGAAGGAACAACAAAGAAAAGCUUCCUGAAAGUUUCUAUUAAAGUUCACAGCCCACAGUUUUAUUGGAAGGCACAGUAUUUCUUUGGUUGAUGUUUACAGCAUUUGAACAUAGUCUCCAGUUGCAUGCGCUUUGAGUUUGCCUUCAUUCCAUGUCAAUGUUGUAUUGCCAGGUUGCUACUCAAGCCGACUUAGGCCUUGCAGAUGCCUAUAUAAACGGGGACAUUUCUUUCGUGGAUAAAAAUGAAGGUUUGCUUAAUCUUUUCAUGGUAAGUAAAUGAACACCAAACAACUUUCAAGCUUUUUCAUCAACAUCCCUUUUCUGAAUUCUUCAUUUCAGGUUUAUGUUGCCAACAGAGAUCUUAAAGCUUCUGUCACAAGUUCUAGCUACCAAAGGUAAAAGGAUUUUCAGUUAGAUGUGUUUAGAUGUUAGUCUGAGUAGUUUAUCCAGAGAUCCAGAGUCCCGCCAUUUCCUUAGUUUUGGUACGCAUGCAUUUAACUUUUUUGGCAGAGGCUGGUGGACACCACUGCUUCUGACGGCUGGACUAGCAUCUGCAAAGUACUUCUUUCAGCAUGUUUCAAGACAAAAUACUCUAACACAGGCUCGCCGAAACAUCUCUCGGCAUUAUGAUCUGGUGAGUCAUUUAUCAAUGAACAGUUCAGCAAGAACCAACUUAAAUAUGACAUUGCUAGGAUAUUCUUCCUGUUGACUUAGCGAGGAAAUUGAUACUGUCUUCCAUUUUUCAGAUUAGAACUGUUUCCUAAGAGAUUCUCACAAUCUCCAAUCCUUUUCUUUUCUUUCUUUAAUUAUGAAACAAUUUCCUUUUUUGGAAUAAGAAUACAGUACUUGUUGUAUUUGGCUUUACGUAGGCAAAUUGUAAUUUCUUUCUGAUGAAAGUUAUUGGCCUAGCUAUUGAGCAGAAAGUUAAUCAAGACUUCUUUCCUUGUAAUGUCUCCAGAGCAAUGAACUAUUUUCUCUGUUUUUGGAUGAAACAAUGACGUAUUCAUGUGCAAUAUUUAAGGUAAGAAUUUAAGCCUUGCUGUAGUAUAGCAGUCUUUUCAAAGCUGAAUUACAGCGAAACUUAUUUUUUGUCUUGACAUCUGAAAGCUAUCCCUUUUUGUGUACUUGUCAUAGUCUGAAGAUGAGGACUUGAAAAUUGCACAAUUGAGAAAAAUUUCCCUAUUGAUUGAAAGGGUAAGCAUUCUAUUUUUGCAAGUCCCUCAAAUUCCUAAGCUGGUUUGUAAUCAAAGCCAUGUCUGUUCAUACUUACCUACUGCAAAUCGACUUUUAGGCCAGAAUCAGUAAGGACCACCAUGUCCUGGAGAUUGGCUGCGGUUGGGGAAGUCUAGCUAUUGAAGUUGUCAAAAGAACUGGAUGUCAAUACACUGGAAUCACCCUUUCUGAGAAGCAACUUACAUAUGCAGAACAGAAAGUGAGGGAAGUUGGGAUGCAGGUAUCAAAAUCAAUGGCUCUGGAACUUUACAAAACCGAAUUGGACAUCAAAACUCAAUUUAGAUGAACUUAAAAAGUGUAGUUCUUGUAAUGUCUGAAUGUGAAGAUCAUGUUUAAUCCGAAUAAUCACAAUCCACAAUCUGGUUGCCAUCUAUCUUAUUAUGCAGUUACCAACAGUAACUAUGAACAUUGAUUUCAUAAUGGAUCAUUUCGUGUUUGUCUGCUACUCUUCAAAAAUUGAAUGUUUGGGGAUGGUAGGUAGGGUGUCUGUACAAGACCUAUUAUUGGUGCACCACACAAAUACUACGCACCACUUUGGAUGCAUGGUUGGGUAAAUGAUUUUGCACAAGACUGUUUACCAUUUGAUAAGUAGCCAAUAUAAAGUUUAUGUCCAUAUUGCAUUAAAACUGUUCUCUGUAUCUAUGCUUCUGAUCCUUCUAGCCAAUUUCAGAUGAUCUAUUUGUUAUCAUUUUAGACUGCUAUCUAAAUUGAACUGUUUCCAUAAACUUCCUCACUUAUUUAGCUACGUUUCAUUUCCUAGGAUCACAUAAAAUUUCUUCUUUGCGACUAUCGUCAAUUGCCAGAAACCUAUAAAUAUGACAGAAUCAUAUCUUGGUAAGUUCUUUCAUUAUUAUUAUUAUUAUUUUUUUUUUUGACAUCAUACAUCACUAGGCCAAUGAGUAUAUAGCAGAAUUGAUGAUAAAUUGCAGUGAGAUGUUGGAAGCUGUUGGUCAUGAAUUUAUGGAGAAGUAUUUCAGCUCUUGCAACUCAGUAUUGGCAGAAGAUGGGAUUCUGGUCCUACAGGUAAUUGGACUAGAAAUUAAAUGAAGUCGAUCGAGCUUUUUCAACUCUUCUGGGUUCCUUGAUCAGGCUACGUGUUUUAGCUUGUGAGAAUCCUUCAAUGAAAUGCUCGAUCUGGCAUAAUGCUUGUUUUCCGUGUCUGCUUUUGGUGUCUUUUUCUUCCAAAGAGACUUAUUUUUACAAUUACAUCUUGUUUGCUUCUUGAAACUCUCUUAAAAAUAAUGGUCUAGUACUUGUAGAGUUCCUUAUCCAGCCUGAUCAUCAUUUUAGUAUUUUGUUUUGGCUGUCCUGUCAAUAUACAAAGAAAAAGAAAAAUGAGUCUAAUCUGCUCAUGGUUGAAAACAAUGAUCUUAACUCUAUUUUUCAAUGGCCAAAAGCCCAGAACUAAUUGAUAAAUGUGACUUGUGAAUGAAAGAUGAUGAUCACUGACUGAUGCGGAUUGCGGACAUCAAAGUUUCUGCUAAACAGAUUAAGGAGCCUUUUCAAACUUCCACAGUAACUUAAUCUUCUUUCUCGAUUUAAGCCAACGUCGUCCAAACUUCUUGCCUGAACCUCCUUGCAUUCGAAUUAAAUAAAUGGAAGUUUGAAAGGGCUCCUUAAUCCAUUUAGCACAAUCUUUGAUGUCUGCAUCACUCACUAUAGCCAGUUAGUUGAAAGUUUCAUGUGACCUUGAGACUUGCUGAUCUCCAUGGAUGCAUGAUCUUUGCUCCUCAGUUUAUAUCAAUACCAGAUGAGAGGUAUGAAGAAUACAGACAAAGCUCAGACUUCAUAAGAGAGUACAUCUUUCCAGGUGGUUGCCUACCUUCACUUAGCCGAGUAACAUCAGCGAUGGCUGCAGCAUCCGGACUGUGGUAAAGUUACACUGCUGUGUGAAAUGUGUUUGAAGCUUUCUCCAUAUAGGAAACUCAUAAAAGUACCUCAAAUGCAGCGUGGAGCACCUGGAAAACUUUGGAAUCCAUUACUAUCAUACCCUUAGGCGUUGGAGGACAAACUUCCUGUCAAAACAAAGGUAUCUGAAAUAUAAUCAGCACUAUGUUCAUUCCCAUUAGUUUCAGCCACCUGAGGCGAUAAUAAAGAAUAUAUGGUUCUUCUUUCAGAGUUUUAGUGAACAAAAUUCCAAAUUUUGGUUUUAGUUUGAAGUCCUUUGACCUGAAAGCAUCGUUCCAAACUUAUAAGAACUGAUGUUCUGCAAGGAAUAAGCACCAGCAUAAAUGUCUUGGCAUUCUAUACAGAAUAAAGCAAGGCUGUGCUUGGAUCGAGGAAUUUGACAAAAGAUUUGAAAUUCUCUCAAUAGGUUUGAAUUGCUUGGGAUGCAUUUGAGUUUGUAAUCCACACCAGUUACAAACCCAAAUCCAACCUAGAAAGAUUUUAGGAACUUUACACCUUUCAUUAGUUAAAUCCCUCGAUCCAAACGUAGCCCAAGAGAAUUGUGCUACCUUUCUUCUGGUGCCACUUAUAGUUCUUUCAUUCAUAGUAAACCAUAUACAGUUCUAGCUUUUGUGACUUGGAAACUGAUUGGCGCGUUAAUGCCUUUGUCCUCAGUGAAAUCCUGGAAUUGGGUUUCGAUGAAAAGUUCAUCCGGACGUGGGAAUACUAUUUUGAUUACUGUGCUGCUGGAUUCAAAACAUGCACACUUGGAAACUACCAGGUACAAACCAUGAAAAACUAUUCUGCUUAUCAUUUUUCAUGUUUCUGAGUUUAAUCCCACACGAUUGUCUGAAUGAUGUCAUCGUAGGUUGUAUUUUCCCGGCCAGGCAAUGUUGUAUCCUUUGGCAAUCUACAGAAAGGUGUACCUUCAGCCUAUUGAUUGUUCAUCCUAUGAAGAGGAAAAGAUCUCCAUCUCAAGAGAAACAACAGAAGAAUUCAAUCCUAGAUAGAUGACUUGCCAUUUUUGUCUUUUAAGCUCCAAUAUUGAUUUCUGCUCAAGAUUUCAUUUGGGUUAGUCCUUCACUGCUUCCCAAAGAAGCAUGAAAAACAAAACAAGAAAUAAAGGUAAAAGAACCAAAAGUAGAGAAACAAACGUGCAAAGUUGAUUCACAACUAGCUUCAUAAUGUUGCAAGUUUCUUUGUCGAAGGCUUGUGGAACGAAGAUUGGUUAAAACCUUGAAUUUGCAUUCAACUGUAGUCAUGAUUUGCAGUCAAAAUCUAAAUGUGACUGGGAUUACACCAUAAAAUAUGGUUGUAUUUGAGCUCUUAUCGUAGAUUGAGCUCUUAUCGUAGAUUGGAAACCUUAACCACGAUAAAUAUAGUUAGAAACCAAUUUGAAUAGAACUCAAAAGCAAUGCCAUUGAAUACAAACACAAUCCAGUUUAACUUCUCAGGCUUCUGCGAGUCCAAUACCACUAAAAUCCCUUCCCACCAUGAUGCACCGGCAACUAUUGCUUGACUGUGACUCGAGGGUUAAACCCUAUCCUAGCAGGCAUCCUGCAAUGCAACAAAGGCACAGUAUGUUUCCUUUAUCACAUGCCAGAUAGAAGGCCAAGAUUGAACACAUAGCGGCCUCCUGCAUCAAUCCUGUAGCAUAGCCGACAACAUACCAUUACAUUUCUGCUCUCCAAUAUGGUCCAAUACUUCACCCAAAAACAUUCCUAACCAUAUCCCUCCAAGUCAAAAGAGCAACAGAUUUUUAGACCAUGUGAUCAAAUGAUAAAAGAGGAAGACAGUUCACUAGCAGCAUACAGCCAAAAUACAUCAGAGCUUACAACCGAAGUAGCCUCUACAACUAAUACGAUGUCUCAAUGCAACGUCCAUGCAUCAUGUUUUGAUGUUUGAAACAAAACACUGGUGAUUAAUAUCUAGCAAGAUCAAAAUCAAACAGUCAAGUUGCCAAGCUCCAGGCUUUUAUCAAGAUUAAUGAGAGUCAAAUCACCUAUAUAAAUCCAGAAUAUUCAAUCAUUUAUUACCAUAAAAACUUUUCUUAGACAGCAGACCAAAAUUGUUGCUAUUGUAACUAAUCAUUCAACUUCUGCUAGCCAUGAUAAUGCCAUAGAGCCUACAACUACUAUGUCACCAGUAUAUUAAGUGGUGAUGAUUUCUCCAUCUGCAUUAGACAACAUACCACAAGUUGUCGGGUAAUGAAUCUUCCACCCAUCUCAAAUUGUAUGAAGAUUGAGACAUCCAAAUUCUUUAACAGCAGCAUGGCCUGCUUCAACAUGACAAUUUCUGGGUAAAGCACCAAAUCAACCCAGCCAAACUUCAUUUUCCUGUAACAUCCCACACCAAACACUCAGCAAAAAGUUGUGAUUAGCCCCUGUGAAGGAACUUCAAUUCACCCAGUUUAUGACUUGAGCCUCUCCUCCUGUACAACACAAGGGCAAAUACAGGAGGAAAUGAUUAUGCCAUUCUCAAAAUCAAGCUACCGCUAAGAUUAUCGCUAUCCAUUAGGAAUUGAUCUACCCAAACCGGCUACAGCUGCAGUCUAAAGAAGCUUAACUAAUCUCAUUGUUCCUAUUGCAUCAUACCAAAGAACUCUGGUCACCAAACAACGUAGAAGAGGUAAGUAAUGAGAAACUACUACCAUCACGGAUGGCAAUGACAUAAAUUUCUGGCUCAUCUAUAUCCAGAUAAAGGACAAAAUUAAAAUUUAACUAAAUAACCAUUACCAUAAUACUCACCGCAAUUAACACAAACUUAAACAAAGCUACUAUAUGUUAAACACUACAAAUAGACAAAAACUCCAGAUCAGCUAGUGACCAUAGCUAUAAGCACACCAAAAUUAAAACUACAUUUGAGAGCAGAUAAUAAAGAAGAUGUAACUCUACUCCUCGCAAAUACUACUUAUUAUAAACUAGCAAAAUAGGUAACAGCAAGCUACUCAGAUACAAGCAAUCCAACCAGUCCUAGGUUGAUUGGUAAAAUCUUGCAACAGCC